GAUGAACGCUAGCUACAGGCUUAACACAUGCAAGUCGUGGGGCAUCAUGAUGUAGUAAUACAUUGAUGGCGACCGGCGCACGGGUGAGUAACGCGUAUCCAACCUACCCUCCACUCAAGUAUAGGCUUCCGAAAGGGAGAUUAAUCCUUGAUAUCGUCAUUCUCUCUCCUGUUAGAAUGAUAAAAGGACAUCGUUUCGGUAGAGGAUGGGGAUGCGUUCCAUUAGGUAGUAGGUGGUUUAACAGGCCACCUAGCCGAUGAUGGAUAGGGGUUCUGAGAGGAAUAUCCCCCACACUGGUACUGAGAUACGGACCAGACUCCUACGGGAGGCAGCAGUGAGGAAUAUUGGUCAAUGGGCGCAAGCCUGAACCAGCCAUGUAGCGUGAAGGAUGACGGUUUUUUUGAUUGUAAACUUCUUUUCUGUGCGAUUAAAGUGUGGCAUUUAUGCCAUAUGGCAGUAUCUCAGGAAUA
rnacentral:rRNA from 1 species